AUGUAUAAUUAUUCAGUUUUUAGAUUUGUGUAUUUUAGAUAUUUUGAACCUUAUGGCAAGUUUUUGCCAGUGUCUGUAUUUAUUUUAUUAUAUUAUGUUGUGCUUAGGUACAGAUAUUAGAAAAAGGUUAUCUUGUGGUCCUUCGGGAUCAUGAGAAUUGUGUGACAUUUUGAUUAUAGAAAAUUGGGGUGUUACAGGC
rnacentral:lncRNA from 1 species